rnacentral:rRNA from 1 species
UAGCUAGUUGGUGGGGUAAGGGCCUACCAAGGCGACGAUCGGUAGCUGGUCUGAGAGGAUGGCCAGCCACACUGGAACUGAGACACGGUCCAGACUCCUACGGGAGGCAGCAGUGGGGAAUAUUGGACAAUGGGGGCAACCCUGAUCCAGCAAUGCCGCGUGUGUGAAGAAGGCCUGAGGGUUGUAAAGCACUUUCAGUGGGGAGGAGGGUUGACUGUUUAAGAGAUGGUUAAUUGGACGUUACCCACAGAAGAAGCACCGGCUAACUCCGUGCCAGCAGCCGCGGUAAUACGGAGGGUGCGAGCGUUAAUCGGAAUUACUGGGCGUAAAGGGUUCGUAGGUGGUUGGAUAAGUUAUGUGUAAAAUCCCUGGGCUCAACCUGGGCAUGUCAGAUAAUACUGUUUAACUCGAGUAUGGGAGAGGGUAGUGGAAUUUCCGGUGUAGCGGUGAAAUGCGUAGAGAUCGGAAGGAACACCAGUGGCGAAGGCGGCUACCUGGCCUAAUACUGACACUGAGGAACGAAAGCGUGGGGAGCAAACAGGAUUAGAUACCCUGGUAGUCCACGCUGUAAACGAUGUCAACUAGCUGUUGGAUAUAUGAAUAUAUUUAGUGGCGC